GAACUUCUCGCGAGCUCCCACGAGAUGUGGACGACAUAAAGGAAGUCCGGACGCCCUGGGAACCUCGCUGUGGUGAAUUCCCAUAUCCUUCGUUGUGUUUCUCAGACGCAGCGUGUACUUUUAUUUUUGCUUUUAUCUUCUUUUUCUCCUGUUCUGCCCACGUUCUCUCUGUAGAGCAAGAAGGACCUGGACUACUUUGGAUUGGCGAACCAUUGCUAAAGGAACUACCAGACAACAGAGGCACUGAACAGAUACUAUUUGCCAGAAAGAUUUCACCUCUUUGAGUACUGAAGACUUUCGUUUCAUAAGAUUAAAUUUAAUGCCAGAUCUGCUAGCCUCUGGAAUAGCAUAUCAGAGGGGCCAGGAGAAGACCUAUGGCUCAAUAUCACUGCAAACUGGAGCGACGAAUCUGAGAGCGAAGCAAAGAUAUUAUAGCUUGAGCUUCGAAAAGAAGACGAGAUGUAAAUUCUUUACUGGAACUGGAGGAAAAAGAGAUGCACAUCAGGAAACAGCUGAUAAUGUGAAUCUGGAGUAUGAUCCAACAAGAGCAAGGGUUUGCCUUUAACCAAGUCAGAAAGGACCCAGUCUUUGUGGUAGGAAACUCAGAGGCAGGGAAGACUCCAGGAGGUCCUUCCAGCAGAGGUCAGCAGGCCCAGCAUCCAGGAGGCCAGGGGAUCAGGAGACACCCAAGGCCUGACGGACGCAGGACAGGGAGAAGUGUCAGCAGAGCCUGGCAGUGAUGGCAGCCGCAGGAGAGGGCCUGCUCUGGCUACAAAUAGAUGGACUCAGCGAUGACUGAAGCUGUGGCUGGAAAAGGGAAUGUGAGCAUGAGUCACAGUCUCUUCUUUCCCUGGAAUUUCCAGCCCAGGCCUUCUGUUGGUUAAGUCUAUUGGAAAGCAGAAAGAAACAGAGAAUUUUGGUGUUGCCUGUAUCUUAUAUCUCUAUUAUUUACAAAUUAUAAUCUUUAUAUGGGCCGUUUUAGAGUAACAAGGACUAGAUAGACAUUCUACCUUUGACAACUGUAAGACCAGAGAAACAAAGCACACGAAGCAAGUUUUUUUUUUUUUUUUGGUAUCAGGGAUCGAACUUGGG
rnacentral:lncRNA from 1 species